AACGAACGCUGGCGGCAUGCCUAACACAUGCCAGUCGAACGAGACCUUCGGGUCUAGUGGCGCACGGGUGCGUAACGCGUGGGAACCUGCCCUUAGGUUCGGAAUAACUCCCCGAAAGGGGUGCUAAUACCGGAUAAUGUCUUCGGACCAAAGAUUUAUCGCCUUUGGAUGGGCCCGCGUUGGAUUAGCUAGUUGGUAGGGUAAAAGCCUACCAAGGCGACGAUCCAUAGCUGGUCUGAGAGGAUGAUCAGCCACACUGGGACUGAGACACGGCCCAGACUCCUACGGGAGGCAGCAGUGGGGAAUAUUGGACAAUGGGCGAAAGCCUGAUCCAGCAAUGCCGCGUGAGUGAUGAAGGCCUUAGGGUUGUAAAGCUCUUUUACCCGGGAUGAUAAUGUCAGUACCGGGAGAAUAAGCUCCGGCUAACUCCGUG
rnacentral:rRNA from 1 species